rnacentral:rRNA from 1 species
UAACGCGUGAGGAACCUGCCUCAAAGAGGGGGACAACAGUUGGAAACGACUGCUAAUACCGCAUAAGCCCACAGCUCGGCAUCGAGCAGAGGGAAAAGGAGCAAUCCGCUUUGAGAUGGCCUCGCGUCCGAUUAGCUAGUUGGUGAGGUAACGGCCCACCAAGGCAACGAUCGGUAGCCGGACUGAGAGGUUGAACGGCCACAUUGGGACUGAGACACGGCCCAGACUCCUACGGGAGGCAGCAGUGGGGAAUAUUGCACAAUGGGGGAAACCCUGAUGCAGCGACGCCGCGUGGAGGAAGAAGGUCUUCGGAUUGUAAACUCCUGUUGUUGAGGAAGAUAAUGACGGUACUCAACAAGGAAGUGACGGCUAACUACGUGCCAGCAGCCGCGGUAAAGCGUAGGUCACAAGCGUUGUCCGGAAUUACUGGGUGUAAAGGGAGCGCAGGCGGGAAGACAAGUUGGAAGUGAAAUCUAUGGGCUCAACCCAUAAACUGCUUUCAAAACUGUUUUUCUUGAGUAGUGCAGAGGUAGGCGGAAUUCCCGGUGUAGCGGUGGAAUGCGUAGAUAUCGGGAGGAACACCAGUGGCGAAGGCGGCCUACUGGGCACCAACUGACGCUGAGGCUCGAAAGUGUGGGUAGCAAACAGGAUUAGAUACCCUGGUAGUCCACACCGUAAACGAUGAUUACUAGGUGU